rnacentral:rRNA from 1 species
UACGAGGGGGGCUAGCGUUGCUCGGAAUCACUGGGCGUAAAGGGCGCGUAGGCGGCCGAUCAAGUCGGAGGUGAAAGCCCAGGGCUCAACCCUGGAAUGGCCUUCGAUACUGGUUGGCUCGAGACCGGAAGAGGUAAGUGGAACUGCGAGUGUAGAGGUGAAAUUCGUAGAUAUUCGCAAGAACACCAGUGGCGAAGGCGGCUUACUGGUCCGGUUCUGACGCUGAGGCGCGAAAGCGUGGGGAGCAAACAGG